rnacentral:tRNA from 1 species
GCGGAUGUAGCUCAUCUGGUUAGAGCGACGGGUUGUGGUUCCGUAGGUAGAGGGUUCGAUCCCCUUCAUUCGCCCCA